UACGUAGGGGGCAAGCGUUGUCCGGAAUUAUUGGGCGUAAAGAGCGUGUAGGCGGUCCGGUAAGUCGGCUGUGAAAGUCCAGGGCUCAACCCUGGGAUGCCGGUCGAUACUGCCGGACUAGAGUUCGGAAGAGGCGAGUGGAAUUCCCGGUGUAGCGGUGGAAUGCGCAGAUAUCAGGAGGAACACCAAUAGCGAAGGCAGCUCGCUGGGACGUUACUGACACUGAGGCGCGAAAGCGUGGGGAGCGAACAGG
rnacentral:rRNA from 1 species